CCAACGGCUCUUUUCAGAGCCACACAAUUUAUCUGAAGAGCUGAG
rfam:Oryzias latipes DNA, chromosome1, strain: Hd-rR.